GACGCAUAAUUAGUUGCUUAGCUGAAAAGUACGUUGGUGAAGGUUCCUUUGAGCGUGCAAUACGCCAAUCAUUCCUUGGUAAUUUUUCUACCACACCGUUUCAGUCUGGCAGUUGGAUCCUUCAUAAUAAUUUUUAUCGUAAUUCUACCUUGUUAACAUCUUUGUUAUUAGGUACACAGUAGAUUAUAUUACAUAGUUUUGAAGCAUCAGUGUAUUUGUGAAAGUCAUUCAGUAGCUAGUUUCAAACUGGUACUCAAUCCACCUUUUGAUCACUGUGUAUUUGUGAGGGCCUUUGAUAUGUAAGAGCAUCUCCAAUGGAUAUGUUAUUUCUGCCACAGACCAACAACUAUUAAAUGACAUCCCACACUCUUCUCCAAUGGAAGUGUUAUACACACGUGGCUACAUGUGUAUUUGACAUUUUGAAGGACCUUGUCAAAUUUGACAGUCCCAACUUGAUUUGGAAAGAAAAGGUGGAGAUGGCUGCAAAAAUUUUGCAUUGUUUAGCUGAUGACUACCCAAAUUUGCAGAAGAAAAUAGGAUGCAUGAAUGGGAAUUUCCAAAUUUUGGAUAUGACACAAAUUCAUCGCUCUGGUAGGAGGAUUAGCCACCACAGGAGGUUUCCUCCUGUUAAUUUCCUAGUGGCGAAUUCAACUCAAACUGCUCUAGCCCUUAGUUCCUUAUAGCUCAAUCACCAACCCUGUCACUAAUUAUAGAUUUGUCUAUAUGUUCUUGUACAGAUUAGAUAAGAGUCAUAAGACUCAUAGGAGUUGGUAUUGCGUCUCUGAGUACAUGCCUUGCGCACUUCAGCUUUGGUUUGUUCUUCAAUUUUCAGUUUUGGUUUAUUCCUCAGCAAUUCAUUCUCUGCAAGAGGAGAGAGAGAGAGAGAAUGAGAUGGGAGACGAGAAUUUGAGCAGAGAACGAGAUGGCCCAAAAUAUCACCAAAAAUAAUCUAAGAGAAAUACUGACCAUCUGUUAAAUAUUGAAUGGCUCAGAUCCAUUCAUGAGGUAAUAUUAGGCAACCUCUCAUUAGGCUCUCAAAGUAGGCAAAGUAGGCACAUUUCAUGAAGCCUACUUCAGAUGAAUCGAAUAAGCUUUUGUGAACCACUUACUGGUUGUUUUAUGAUGGAAUAUUGAUGUAUGAUGUCGUGGCAGCAGAAUUGAACCAACUCCUUCAUGAGAAACUUCAAAGAAGCCAAGAAACCAACUCCACAAAAUGUUAUGGGAAAAAGCUGAUGAGUUUCGCUGCACAGUUUGCCAACUUUAGGCACGAUUUACGCCCUGCCCGGAUGAUUUUUCUGAUCAGUUCUUGAGAAAACAGCUCCAAGAAAGCCAUUUUCUGAAAUUUCCAGCUUUUGCUUCUUAAUUGGCUGACUUCUUGAAUUUGUAUCUUGAUCGUCCCAUGGCUGAUAUGGAUGACUCUUGAUACCACUAUCCUCAAUGACAUCACAUGUUGAUGUAUAAACCAAUACCUCAGUGAUAAGUAUUGAAGAAACAAAGCCACAAAAUCCCAAUGUAGUUCAGUUUCUGGAAAAAGGCUGUUUCAAGGUGUCAACUUCUGGAGCUCAUAACUCAUGCUUCAAAGCAGCGAAUGGCACAAUUCUUUUACAGAGUUGUAGUCCCAUAUCAUGGGUCAAAAAUGGUGUAGGGCGAACAGACAAUAAACCCUUGCAAGGAAGCGCGAAUGAGCCACGAAAAUGCCUCAGAGGAAGCAAAAUCUGAAAAUUUCAGAAUUUUAAAUUUGUAGGGGAUGACUUCCUUAACGAGCUCCAUGUGCUUUCCUUGUGAUUUCUGAGCAGUGGGAUAUCUGAACUUAAUCCUUGGCAUUAAGCCAAGAUGCUUGACUUGAUUUCCAGAAGGUAUGGAACCGCUUGGUAAAGUGCCUUCAAGAACCAAUGUCUCCCGCCACUUGUUGCUGCUAAUAAAGCCUAAUAGGCAAGUCGAAUGUCCCAGAAAACAUGAGAUAAAAAUUAAAACCGCAGGGAAAGUUUCAAAAAUUUGCCACAGGAACUGGCAGAAUGGAAAGUUUCAAAAAUUUGCCACUGGAAUUGGCAAAAUGUGUGUAGUGUAAUCCCCCAGUUUAACCGGAGAUGAUUCGCAGCCCCCCAGUAUGGACUCAGCUAAGAGAAAAGGCUGCUGACCUUCUGUACAUAGUACAUACACAACUGAAAUCAUGCAUGCAUAUAAAUAAGAUUAACAUCGCCUCCUUAAUGCCACUGUAAAACCUGAAAAACCACGAAUUGGUUUUUAUGAUGACUGUCACUACUUAGCCAACAUAACUAAACCUCAGAUAGGUUUAUUUGCUUCUGUACGUAGUAUUAGUAUAGCAACGAAUGCUAUGGACUUGUCACAAAUUGAUCUUUUUACUCCAAACAAGAACCCCUUAAGAAAGCUGCAGACUUCCUUCCACCAUCUUGCUUUGAACGUAACAUUAAUUGCACCGUGACUUCUUGAAAGAUCUAUGCUGCUGAUAUGAGGUUUGAAGCCCCCCCUGUCCCUUUGUCAUAAAGCAAAACAAACUUUGUUGCUGCAAGAUGGACAUCUGCUAUGCAUGCAGCUUUGCGAAAUUGGAGAAGAUAACUCCUCAAGGAUCAAAACUUGGCUAGUAGGUUGGUCCAGUUCUCCAGUUUUCUUUCCCUCUCAAACUGUAGCCAUGCAUGCAUUUAUUAUGUUUGCAAGUUUCCACCGGUUUAUCACACAUGAAGUACGCCAAGAAAUAUGGUACUGGUGCCUCCUCCAUAUAUAAUUAUGCAACAUCACUUGGCACUCUAUAUAUCUCAUAUAGCAUGACAGCGACCACCACUCCUCAACGAUUCAGAUAUUUUUAGAAGGGAAUUACUUAACCAUGUACCUCAAGUAGAGGUCUGCCAUGCCUUCACCAUAAUUCCANNNNNNNNNNNNNNNNNNNNUAUAAAGAUUGCUCACUAGCUAUUGCUGCCUCGUCGGUUUAUCAUGUAAAGAUUGCAAAAAAUUCAUUGCUGCCUCUGUCGGUUUAUCUUGUAAAGAUUGCAAAUUUACAAGCCAUUGUUGCCUUAUCGGUUUAUCUUAUAAAGAUUGCUCACUAUCUAUUGCUGCCUCGUCAGUCUAUCAUGUAAAGAUUGCAAAAAAUUUCAUUGUUGCCUCUGUCGGUUUAUCUUGUAAAUAUUGCAAAUUUACAAGCCAUUGUUGCCUCGUCGGUUUAUCCUAUAAAGAUUGCUAAAAAACCAUUGCUGCCUCGUUGGUUUAACUUAUAGGUUGAGUAAUGUUGCUUUGUGGGUUUGUGCUAAUACGAUUGUUGCCCCUGUUCAGUGAUUUUACCCAUAUGGGGUUUGAACAAAUAAGUCAUUGUUGCCACAUAAGGAAAGAUUAGACAUAUGGUAAAUACUUUACUGACAGUAACAUCGGUGAUGCAGAUUACUCUCAUCCUUGGGUAUGAUGAAGAAGAAACCAGUAAGAAUCUGAGCGAGACUUGCGUGAAAUCCCAUGUCAAAAUAUUGGUGCUCCCUCUUUUCUUGAGGUUGAGGAACCAUUUUUGACUAGGGUUUCAUGCUGUCCUGCCUCGAUUUCUGAGGGGUUUCUUCUUUUAUCAGUCCCUUAAUUAUUGCUGCCUUGUCGGUUUAUCUUGUAAAGAUUGCAAAAAGUUCAUUGCUGCCUCUGUCGGUUGAUCUUGUAAAGAUUGCAAAUUUACAAGCCCUUGUUGCCUUGUCGGUUUAUCUUAUAAAGAUUGCUCACUAGCUAUUGCUGCCUUGUCGGUUUAUCAUGUAAAGAUUGCAAAAAUUCAUUGUUGCCUAUAAAGAUUGCUCACUAGCUAUUGUUGCCUUGUCGGUUUAUCAUGUAAAGAUUGCAAAAAAUUCACUGCUGCCUCUGUCGGUUUAUCUUGUAAAGAUUGCAAAUUUACAAGCCAUUGUUGCCUCAUCUGUUUAUCCUAUAAAGAUUGCAAAAAAGCCAUCUCUGCCUCGUUGGUUUAUCUUAUAGGUUGAGAAAUGUUGCUUUGUGGGUUUGUGCUGAUACGGUUGCCUCUGUAGACAUAUGAUAAAUACUUUACAGACAGUAACAUUAGUGAUGCAGAUUACUCUCAUCCCUCUAGACUCAAGCACUUGGAGGAGCAUUGCUCAUGGAUCCUCUCUCCUAAGGUGUGUUUAAUAGAGAACACAUUUACUUGAUUUGUUUGUGAUUUGAUAAAUGGAGAACACAUUUACAUGAUAUGAUGAAUCUGGAUUAGUGUCGUAGUCCGCUUAAUGGAGAACACAUAUGAAUCUGGAUUAGUGUCUUAGUCCGCUUAAUGGAGAACACAUUUACAUGAUAUGAUGAAUUUGAGGUGUCGCUACUUUGCAUAGAGAAUGCAUUUUUGAAAUGAGGGUAUAUGAAAUAUUUGAAAAGACUUGUGGGAAUCGGUCCCUGACUCACUAACUGUUGCCUCUGAUAUGUAAAGCAUUGUUGGGGGAGACUAAUGAAAUUGUUGCCUUGUCGGUUUACUGUUGGGCUUUAGUUCUUUUUCCCACAUUGUAGCCAUUAAGAUAAGGAAGGAGAUGCAUUGUUCUGCAAUAAGUCGGGUGCUGUUGUAAUUGUAUGAUCCAAUGGUACUUUAAUUCAGCCUGCAAUAAUUUCUAUGAAUUUGGAUCAUUCUAUGAUUGUAGCAGGAAAUUGAACUUUUUGUUGGUAAGAUAGUUGGAUGGCAGGUGUGAAGCUUUUUUUAAUUCCUUGUGGACUUGCAUAAUACAUUUUUGUGGGACAUAUGAGCUACUUGGAAGGGCUUCUUUUCUCAGAAGUUUAAUGUGAAUCAUGAUGCUUUUAUAGUUGAAGUCACAAAUAAUCUGAAUAUUUUUGCCUCUUAUAAUGCUAGUUCCUCUUGUUGGUAUUGCAUUCAACAAAGGCUUAUAUGAAGGCUACCCUAUGAUAUAGAGAAUUUGUAUGAGCCUUGUCUUGAUCUCUUCUUAUAGACAAUACAUGUACAUGAUAUUAUGAAUUUGUAUAUGCUUAAUAGAGAAUUCAUGUACAUGAUAUAUUGAAUACGAGGGAAUAGUCGGAAUACAUUGAUAUACAUUUGUACUGUGUCUUUUCUUGGUGUCAAACAGCAUGCAAUCCAGGUCAAAACUCCGAGGGAUUUCUUUUUUCGUAAGUCCCGCAAUUUCUGAUUUUACGAUGUAACAAUUAUGUCAAGGUUGCUGGUUGAUCCCUUAAAAAUAAGGGUAUCUGAAAGUUUUGAAAAAUACUAGUCGGAAAUUGUCCCUUAAAGGUUGCCAAUGAGAUUUAAAGCAUUUUGUAUACAUGUUGCCAUCCUUGGAAUUUCGCCACUCGUGUGAUUUUUUGCCUCUCUUGAGGUUCCAGCAACCAACUCAUUGAUGCAGUAGUGUGGGGGGAGACUAUUGCUAUAUUUACCUUGUCGGUUUUUGCUAAAAAGAUUGUCCUCACUCAAGUGAUUAUGAAUGCAUUCUAAGAAUAAAGUCUACUAUGUGGUGGGACAUAUUAGAUUUGGACACCCCACCACUACUAAUAAUCUCAACUAAUUCUGAGAAUAAAGUCAACUAAUUCUGAUAUUUGUUUUAUUGGGAAGAGUUAAUAGUACUGGUAUUUAUCAGGAGAAUAUUGUGCAAAGUCUUUGUGUGCUUGCAGUGUUUGGCCAUUGUCCUCUUGAAGGGAAAGUUGUGUGGGGAGAGUUUAAUAUGGAGGAUACUAUUUCUAAUGCAGCUUGAAAUUUGGUUGAUAUGAUCUUCGCUGAGGACAGUGUUUUGGUACAAGCAAAAAGGUGCCUUCCCAUGUUGUGGAAGGUAUGAUUUCUGAAAAUGAAGGGAUCAGUCCCUACCUUGUCUACAACUUCAAAUGUUUAGUGGUAUGUUGGAACUGCUAUUUCUGAUCUUGUUCCUCUAUUUGAGUGUGAUGUUUUAAUUGUAUCUGAACCUAGAUUUCUUUCUCUAGAGCUAAAAAUUUUCUUCGAAAACAUGGCUUCUCUGAUGCUGCAAGUGUCUGAUGCUAGAGGUUUGCUGGAGUUUGGUUUAUAAGAUUAAAUUAAGUGUUGAUUUUAUUGAUUGUAAUUGUCAAUCUGUCACUCUUAAAGUUUCAUUUGUUGGAGCUCAAGAAUGUAUUCUAGCUGCUGUUUAUGCUAGUCCUACUACCUCUAUGAGAUGUCAACUUUGGAUUUAUCUUUCUGCCUUGGCUACUCGUUUUCAGCUUCCAUGGUUAAUCAUAGGUGAUGUCAAUGAAUUGUAUUGUAGUGCAGAUAAAAAUGGUGGAUUUAUGGCUGGAAAAAUUGGUGGGAUGAAAAAGUAGGUUGAUCAAUUUGGUAUACUUGAUCUGAGAUUUCAAGGAUCUGCUUUCACUUGGACCGAUAAGCAGAUUUAAAGAACAACGAUAGAGAGGGUUUUGUACUCAUCCUUGUGCAUAAUAAUGCAAACAAUUCUGAAAGUUCAGGAAUUAAUACAAAACCAAAGAUGAUGACUAUGAUGAGUUGGCAUGAGUUGAAUUUCCAAUAUGUUAUUUUCUGUGAAAUGUUAAGUUGCUUCAGUCCAGAUAUCCAAUUGCAGAAUCUAAUUUCAUGUUAUGUGUGCAUGUAAAAGGCGUUCAAUUUACUUCAACUAAACUGGAUCUGCUCGAAGAUAAAACAUGAAGUGUUACAGACACAUGGCUAUUACAACCGGAAAGCAUAGGGUUGCCUGGGUUUGAAGCUUCCAAAUGAGUUGUCAAAGUAUGUGUCAAGCAUUCUUUAAUUGCCUCCUGAUCAAGACUAUCCUCACAUAAAGCCAGUCAUAGGAAACAUUUAAGAAAUGUACGUAUGCAUAUCUCCAUGACCUAGGAUUUUGGCCUUGGAAACACAUGGGAGAUAGAUGAGAGACAUGUUUCCAUUUCUGGUAAUUCUCAUACUUCUCCUGUUUCUUGAUUCGUAAUUUUUUUAUGGAUUUGUGUUUCUGUUGCCUUGAUUCUGUGGUGUUGCCCCGGUUUGCUGUGAAAUGAGGGUACAUGAAAGAUUUGAAAAGAUUAGGGGCUAUUGGUCCCUGUGAUGUGAUCUCGAUUAGUCCCUUGGGUAUGAUGAAGAAGAAACCAGUAAGAAUCUGAGCGAGACAUGCGUGAAAUCUCUUGUCAAAUAUUGGUGCUCCCUCUUUUCUUGAGGUUGAGGAACCAUUUUUGACUAGGGUUUCAUGUUGUCCUGCCCCAAAUUCUGAGGGGUUCUUCUUUCAUCAGUCCCUUAAUUAUUGUUGCCUUGUCGGUUUAUCUUGUAAAGAUUGCAAAAAGUUCAUUGCUGCCUCUGUCGGUUGAUCUUAUAAAGAUUGCAAAUUUACAAGCCCUUGUUGCCUUGUCGGUUUAUCUUAUAAAGAUUGGUCACUGGCUAUUGCUGCCUUGUCGGUUUAUCAUGUAAAGAUUGCAAAAAUUCAUUGUUGCCUAUAAAGAUUGCUCACUAUCUAUUGCUGCCUCGUCGGUUUAUCAUGUAAAGAUUUCAAAAAAUGCACUGCUGCCUCUGUUUAUCUUGUAAAGAUUGCAAAUUUACAAGCCAUUGUUGCCUCGUCUGUUUAUCCUAUAAAGAUUGCAAAAAAGCCAUCGCUGCCUUGUUGGUUUAUCUUAUAGGUUGAGAAAUGUUGCUUUGUGGGUUUGUGCUGAUAUGGUUGUUGCCCCUUUAGACAUAUGAUAAAUACUUUACUGGCAGUAACAUCAGUGAUGCAGAUUACUCAUCCUUCUAGACUCUCAAGCACUUGGAGGAGCAUUGCUCAUGGAUCCUCUCUCCUAAGGUGUGCUUAAUAGAGAACACAUUUACUUGAUAUGAUUUUGUGAUUUGAUAAAUGGAGAACACAUUUACAUGAUAUGAUGAAUCUGGAUUAGUGUCUUAGUCUGUUUAAUGGAGAACACAUUUACAUGAUAUGAUGAACUUGAGGUGUCUCUACUUUGUAUCUUCUUCAUAGAGAAUGCAUUUACAUGAUAUAAUGAAUCUUAGGGAAUACAUUAACAAGGUAUGAUGAAGAAACCAGUUAUUUGAAAGAGACAUGCGUGAAAUCUCGAUUCAAACUAUUGGUGCUCCCUCUUUUCUUGAGGUUGAGGAGCCAUUUUUGACUGGGUUUCAUGCUAUCCUGCCUCGAAUUCUGAGGGGCUUUUUCUUUCAUUUGUCCCUUAAUUAUUGUUACAUGGUAAUAAUUACUUGUGAUAUAACUGCCAUUUGAUCCAUCGAAAUGAGGGUACAUGAAAGAUUUGAAAAGAUUAGUGGCAAUUGGUCCCUGUGAUGUGAUCUCGAUUAGUCCCUUGGAUAUGAUGAAGAAGAAACCAGUAAGAAUCUGAGUGAGACAGGCGUGAAAUCUCAUGUCAAACUAUUGGUGCUCCCUCUUUUCUUGAGGUUGAGGAACCAUUUUUGACUAGGGUUUCAUGCUGUCCUGCCUCAAAUUCUGAGGGGUUUCUUCUUUCAUCAGUCCCUUAAUUAUUGUUACAUGGUAACAAUUACUUCUGAUAUGGCUGCCAUUUGAUCCAUCGAAAUGAGGGUACAUGAAAGAUUUGAAAAGAUUAGUGACAAUUGGUCCCUGUGAUGUGAUCUCGAUUAGUCCCUUGCGUAUGAUGAAGAAGAAACAGUAAGAAUCUGAGCGAGACAUGCGUGAAAUCUCAUGUCAAAGUAUUGGUGCUCCCUCUUUUCUUGAGGUUGAGGAACCAUUUUUUACUAGGGUUUCAUGUUGUCCUGCCCCGAAUUCUGAGUGGUUUCUUCUUUCAUCAGUCCCAUAAUUAAUACAUGGUAACAAUUAUUGAAGUGGUGUCUUGGGUGAGGUUUGAAUUUAUUUCGUAUUAGAUUAUAGUAGGAGAACCAGAUGAGGGUUAUUGGCUUUUUAAAAUCUAUUUUCUAGGGAAGAUCAUACUAGAAAGUUUUUAAUGACUGUUAUCUAGGUCCAAGGAAUAGGUGUCUCUAGUUGUACCAAACUACUGGAUACGUUCAUACAUCAAAACAACAAAACACUCAGUUGUGUUGUAUAACUAAUAUCCACUCAGUUGAGGUGCGAAUUUAGUUCGUAUUAGAUUACAGUAGGAGAACCAGAUGAGGGUUAUUGGCUUUUCAAAAUCUAUUUUCUAGGGAAGAUCGUACUUGAGGGUUAUUAGCUUUUCAAAAUCUAUUUUCUAGGGAAGAUCGUACUUGAAAGUUUUUAACGACAAUUAUCUAGGUCCAAGGAAUAGGUAUCUCCAGUUGUGCCAAACUACUGGAUACAUUCAUAUAAUAAACACUCAGUUAAGGUUUAUUGCUGUGGAGUUAUUCACACUACUUUUCUUUCUGGACUGAGGCUAAAUAACUGUAAGUGGUACUCUAGUGUUUAGAUCUAGGCUUUAGGAAAUUGUGGAGCCUUACAUCACCACUUCACUGGGGGAUGAUUCACUUCAUCACUUGGUUUUCUUAUUCAUAUCUUCUUUUUGUGUUGAAAAGGUGUUAUUUUGCGUUGGGAUUGUUUCUUAUUAUUUUACGUCAGGGAAGCUAUACAUUUAUCUACUGAUUGUCUUUAGAGCCUCUUACACCGUUCCCGUCAUCUUUUCUGAGUUGUAAUUCAUAGUGCCAGAAACAGGGUUUGUUCUCACUUUUAGGAGGAUCUGGGUUUUGAUGAGUUCACUAGUUUGAUUGUGUUUUAUUCAUUGACUAUAUCCAUGGGUUUGAUAUCAUGUGGUAGUGGUGAGAGGUUUUAUUGGGAUUUUCAGGAAAACUUGCAUUACUUUUGUGCUUGAGUUUGCUUAGUUGUAGUUCGAAAUGGGUUGAAGAAGCUGUGGAGUGUGAGUUUUACUAAUUUGGUGGUUAAAAUGGUGUUUCUGGUGAUGUGGGAAUUGAGUUAUACAGUUGAGAACCAUAUGAGGGUUAUUGGCUUUUCAGUAUAUCUAUCUAUCAAUCUUCUAGGGAUCAUACUAGAAAGUUUCUAACGAGUUAUUUAUGUUCAAUGACUGUCCAGUUGUGCCAGCCUACCAAAUACAUCAAAACACAAAAGCCCUUGUUGUGUUGGAUACCUAGUGACCGUUACUCUUUUAGUUACUUGCCCAGUAUUUGGGUGGAGUUAUGUAUACGACUUUUCUUUCUGUUCUGGUGUUAAAUAGCCAUAACAGGUACCCCAGGUUUAGGGUCUAGGCUUCAGAAUAUUACGGAGCCUUGCGUCACCAGGGGUUUGAUUCACCUCUUCACUUGGUUUUCUAAUUUAUAUCUUCUUUCUGCUUAUUGGAAUGCCGGGACUCAAUCUUUGUUACAUGUCUACCUUGUUAACAUCUUUGUUAUUAGGUACACAGUAGAUUAUAUUACAUAGUUUUGAAGCAUCAGUGUAUUUGUGAAAGUCAUUCAGUAGCUAGUUUCAAACUGGUACUCAAUCCACCUUUUGAUCACUGUGUAUUUGUGAGGGCCUUUGAUAUGUAAGAGCAUCUCCAAUGGAUAUGUUAUUUCUGCCACAGACCAACAACUAUUAAAUGACAUCCCACACUCUUCUCCAAUGGAAGUGUUAUACACACGUGGCUACAUGUGUAUUUGACAUUUUGAAGGACCUUGUCAAAUUUGACAGUCCCAACUUGAUUUGGAAAGAAAACGUGGAGAUGGCUGCAAAACUUUUGCAUUGUUUAGCUGAUGACUACCCAAAUUUGCAGAAGAAAAUAGGAUGCAUGAAUGGGAAUUUCCAAAUUUUCAAUAUGACACAAAGUCAUCGCUCUGGUAGGAGGAUUAGCCACCACAGGAGGUUUCCUCCGGUUAAUUUCCCUGGUGGUAGCGAAUUCAAUUCAAACUGCUCUAGCCCUUAGUUCCUUAUAUCUCAAUCACCAACCCUGUCACUAAUUAUAGAUUUGUCUAUAUGUUCUUGUUGUCAGAUUAGAUAAGAGUCAUAAGAGUCAUAGGAGUUGGUAUUGCGUCUCUGAGUACAUGCCUUGCGCACUUCAGCUUUGGUUUGUUCUUCAAUUUUCAGUUUUGGUUUAUUCCUCAGCAAUUCAUUCUCUGCA
rnacentral:lncRNA from 1 species